GGAAGUAAAAGUCGUAACAAGAUCUCCGUAGGUGAACCUGCGGAGGGAUCAUUACAGAGUUCUCGCCCUCGCGGGUAGAUCUCCCACCCACUGUUAUCGUUACUGUGUUGCUUUGGCGGGCCGCCGGGCCCCGCUCGGCCGCCGGCUCCGGCUGGCGCGCGCCCGCCAGAGGCCCAGCAAACUCUGAAUGUUAGUGUCGUCUGAGUACUAUAUAAUAGUUAAAACUCUCAACAACGGAUCUCUUGGUUCUG
rnacentral:misc_RNA from 1 species